rnacentral:lncRNA from 1 species
UAGCCCACUAAGUUCCACUAAUUGUUAGUGAAACAUUAGGUGUUUGGAUUUUGCAAAUUAAUUACAUGCAUUUUUGCAUGUAAUUAGGUUAUAAAUAGGGGAGUUUUCAAAUGGUUGAAGACUUUUGCCUUUUUUAAUAUACUCCAAUAUCUCAACCAAGAAAAAAAACUUCUACCUUCCAAUUUCCUUUUAUCUCCAUUACUUUCUACAUCAAAUUGGAUCCCACAACCCGGUUCUUUGUCUAGAGGAUAGUAGUUGAGCACUAGUGGUGGUCUCGAUUUGAAUUGCUAAUGAGGUAUAAAGUUUUUUGAAAGCUUCAAAGGUAAUAUUUCCUAAAACCCUAAUUUGAUUAGUUUAGGGUUACUUGUUAAUUGCGGCAAUUAGGGUAGAAAUUCGAUUCUUUUUCCGCUGUGCAUGUCUUAGUUCUAUCAUCUUCAACGAUCAUUAAUUCAUUGUUAAAGUCCUUAAAUAGAUCAUCUUGACAAUCAUUCAAUCUAAUAUAAUUGCGAAUUGUGUAACAUGCUAUUUAUAUAUACUUUGUGUCUUUAUCGAGUAUGGAGGCAUUUGCUUAAGAUAGGAAAUCGAGCCUUCAGCACACCGAAACAACGAAUGACAUUUCACAAUGAAGGAUUUCGAUAGUUAAACACUUCUUCUUUAUCUCAAGGGCGAUGUUUCAUUUCUUUAAAAUCUUGUAAAUGAUAUAUUUGAUCGCGAAAUGAUGCUAAAAAUGUUGACAUAUUUGAAUAUCCUAAAUUGACAAGAUAGUAUUGAUCUCUAUAAAAUAAAUCAAACAAAAAAUUAUCAUAAAGUCAUCUAUUAUUGGAAUUUACGUCCUAAAACUCGUAGUUUGUAAUUUAAAUAUUAUUCUAAUCAAUAAAGAGGUUAUUGAUGACUUAUUAGUGAAAAUAUAAUACUAUAAUUUUGAAUCUAAUAAACUAAAAUCUUGAGGUUAUCUAGUGUAGAUUUGAACUUUAUGUAGAGACAUAAAUGUGGAUCAAGUUCGAGUAUAUAACCCAAAUGAUCUAUAGUGUAUGAAUAAGGUUGGGUGCCUUCAUCUGAUAAAACUAUGAAUGCAAUUCACUUUGUAGUUAGUACAAAUGAUGUGUUCAUGAAUCGUUCAUGUAAAGAGACAUGGAAGUGGGGGCAUUUUAGAAGUAUGCGAGAAUCAUUGACCGAUCCUUCCCAACAAGACAUUGACAUAAUAUCAAUGAAUAGACACACAUUAUGUCACACCCCACUCUUUCCACCUCACGAGAUAAAACAGAGGCUCAACUAUGUAAGCAUAUUCUACAUGAUAUUCUCCGUGAAGUAACGCAUCGAACGAUUAGUGAGCGAAAUUAAAACAAGUGUGAGAAACUUAACACAAAAAAUGAGAGUUUAUUGAUAUUUCACUAUAAGUACUUUUUGUUGGAAUUUUUUGUCCUAAAACUCGUAGUUUGUAAAUCAUAUUUUGUUCAAUAAAGUUGUUAUUGAGAAAUUAAAUAUUAUAAUCUUAAAUCAAAUAAAUCAAGUUCCAAGGCUAUUUUUGAAUAAACUUGAAUUUUAUGUGUAAACAUAAACGUGGAUCAAGUUCGAGUAUAUAGCCUAAAUAGUCUAUAGUAUAUGAAAUAAAGGUUGGGCGCCUUAUUUAGAGAAACUAUGGAUGCGGCCCACUUUGUAGUACAAACGAAGUGAUCCUAAUCGUUCAUGUAGAGACAUGAAAGUGGGGGCAUCAUAUGUAAAAUGUUUACAUAAGACUGAACCAUGAAUUAGUCUUUUUUACGUUAUAACACCGUUUACUGUUUAAAACUGACUAUCUCAAUUAUUGAUGACCUAGGUAACUUAGUCUUAAUCCUGAGUUAACUAUGAACUCCUAUUCACACGAGAUUAUCCUUAGAUCUGCAUAGGUGAGGGCAGCUCAUCAGCGUUGGCCCAAUAAGCCUCCCAUUUCAGGGGUAAGAUCGGGUGGAUAGCUGGGAACAUAGGGUACAAGAUGGAAUUCACUCCUACCCGCUUUAGGGUUAGUAGAUAGGUUGCUCUCUUAAGCACUGAAUCCAAGUCUUGAACAAGGGGCCCCACCCUCUCAUUGGCCCGAGAGGGAUUAAGUUUAUAGGUUGAACCUUAAACCAAUUGUUCAAUAGUGGAUUAGUGGGACUUAAGGAGCAAGAUGUAAUCUUGGGGGUAAAACGGUAUUUUGACCCAGCCAAGGUUACGAGCAACCUGUGAAAGAUUAACUUACUGAUUAUGGUUUUAUCAAAUGGACACAAAUAUAUCUAUAGUGAGGGGAGUGCAACUACGGGACUUUAGUGGAAUGACCCGUUAGUUAACGAAUGUUGAUUAACUCGGUUUAAAAGAGUUUAGCUAGUUAAUCUUGAAUCGUUGGAGCCCAUGAUCUAUAGGUCCAUUAGGUUCCUCUGCUAGCUCAUAUGGAUUAAACUUAGAACAGUGUGAUGAAAUAAGUCGAAUUGUUCGAAUUGGGAGAAGAAAGGGAAACCGACAUAUACAGUGAUAUAGUCGUCGGUCUUCUAAUUAGAAAUAGAGCUUUAUGUUUUACAUACUAUAAGUAUGAAUGCGGAUUCAUACUAAGAAGCUCGGAAUUGGUCAAAAAUAGUAAAAAGUCAAAAUGUUGACUUUUGACUUUGAAAAAGUCAAACUUUGACCGGCCUUAUAUCCAAAUGUGAUUUGAAUUUUGGAAAAAUGAAUGCGGAUUCAUGCUCGGGAGGUUGGAAUUAGUCAAGACGGACAAAAUGGUAAAAAGUCAAAAUAUUGACUUUUGACUUAGAAAAGUCAAAGUUUGACUUUUGACUAGAAAAAUCUAAUGACCAUUUUACCCUUGGACUAAGUUAGUGGGAAAAUCCAACAUUUUGUUGGAUAAUCCCACUAACUCUUAGUGGGAUAUGUGGCUAUAUGAGAUAUAGACACCUAGCCCACUAAGUUCCACUAAUUGUUAGUGGAAUAUUAGGUGUUGAGAUUUGGCAAUUGAAUUGCAUGCAUUUUUGCAUGUAAUUAGGCUAUAAAUAGAGAUGUUUUCAAAUGUUGAAGGACUUUUGCCUCUUUUAUCAUUUUCAUCAUCUCAACAAAAGAAAAAAGAAAGCUUCCAAUCUCAUUUUAUCUCCAUUACUUUCUACACCAAAAUUGGGUCCCACAACCCGGUUCUUUGUCUAGAGGAUAGCAGUUGAGUACUAGUGGUGGUCUCGGGUAGAAUUGGUAAGAAGACAUCAAACCUUUUGAAAGCUUCAAAGGUAAUACUUCUUAAAACCCUAAUUUGAUUAGUUUAUGGUUACAUGUUAAUUGUGGCAAUUAGGGUAGAAAUUCGAUUCUUUUUCCGCUGUGCAUGACUUAGUUCUAUCACUUUUGGUACCAAUUACAAUGCUUAGUACGACCCUUUAAACCUGACUUAAAACAUUACAUGAACUUCUUUGCUUAAUUAUUACAUGUUAUGCAAACAAAUAAUGUUCAUUACCAAAAUGAUGCGAUCAAGGGGCACAGUAGGCGUUCAAAGCUGCAAGUUCAAGGUUGGAUGUCCUUCGCUACAUAGAAGGUGAUAACUCAUAUAAAUACAAGUUACUAUGACCUUUUAGGUAGAAUAAUGAGACCAAAAUGCGUGAUAAGAGUGGCAAAACACAUAGCUUAUGUUGUAAAUGCAUAAAUAUUUAGGAAUAAACUUUACAUAAGUGAUAUGCCUGCUUUACCCUGUUUUUAAUGUCUAAACGUAGGAUUUGCAAAAGAAGAAGUUGGCGAAUUGCAAAGAAACUCGCGUGAAAACUAGGCUAGAAGACCACAUCAAAGCGAAAGAAGAAGUUCACUAGAAGAAAAAAGUGGUAAAUGGAAUUGACUUGACUUGACAAGAUAGAAAACUUUCGACGUUGACAUGUUCAGAAGAUUAAACUUCUCACCUAAAUCUGCCUAUAAAAAAGAACUUCAUACGUACCAUCAAUGGGCUAGACGUCUAAAUGGACUAGCCACUAGAGGUCUAAAUGAGCCAACCACUCACUUGAAGAGGUGGGUGGAAACCUAGAGAGUUGAUGGGAAAGAGUAGCCUUUCCACCACCUGUAAAGUAUUCCUUCAUCUUCUCCGGUCAGUUGAAGAGUGAAAGCUUGAGAGGUGAGUUCAGAAAAGUCCAUCCCACAUUUCCUCCUGACUUGUAAUGUCACUUUUAUUUUUUUUACCAUUUUUGUAUUUUUUUUAUAUUGUAUCUAUUUGUAUUGUACAGUGGCCGAAGACCUUCAUUGUUUAAUACAAUGUAUGUUUAUACCUCAUUCAAUCUAUCCAUCUAUCCUUGUGCUAUUUGUAAUUUAGGUUUAUGAUACAUUCUUGAUAAGGAGCUUUACUUAUAAUUCUUAUUGGUUAGUUGAGCUACUUUCAUCACUUGGCAAGUGUAUAUCGCCAACUACACCUGAGAGGGCAAGUGACAAGGAUAUAACAAACACACACAAGGAAGCGUUUUCUACUAUGUGAGAUAACUUCCAUCAUUUGUAUAACACUGAUUGUGUAGCAAAACAUGACAGUCGUGAGUUUUGAGACUUGAUAUUUUCCCCUCGUUUUUAUUCAUGCAUCGUGAAAUAUUAGAAACGAAUCCAUCGAAAAACUUAAUUGCUUUCAGGAACUUUCAAAACUCAACUCGCUUGCUGCUAGUCAAUGUGUAGCUCACAUGUGGUUUCAUCAAUCUGUUACUGACUUCUAUCAAAUGUAAAUCAUUUUUUAUUUUUUAAAUCUUGUAGAUCUAAUAGGGCAUUCGUGGUACCCUUGGUUUUUCUUUUAAUAUUCAAUAAUGUACCGACAAAGUUGUCACAAACAUUCUUUUCAAUAUGCAUUACAUCUUUUGUGACAAAUAAGUAAUCUUGACCAGUAAGGAAGAUCGAAGAAAAUAAUUUUCUUAGUCCAA